rnacentral:rRNA from 1 species
CCAAGGCUAAAUACUCCCUAGUGACCGAUAGUGAACCAGUACCGUGAGGGAAAGGUGAAAAGCACCCCGGAAGGGGAGUGAAACAGUUCCUGAAACCGUGUGCCUACAAGUAGUUAGAGCCCGUUAAUGGGUGAUAGCGUGCCUUUUGUAGAAUGAACCGGCGAGUUACGAUUUGUUGCAAGGUUAAGCGGAAAAAGCGGAGCCGUAGCGAAAGCGAGUCUGAAUAGGGCGCAUAAGUAACAGGUCGUAGACCCGAAACCAGGUGAUCUACCCAUGUCCAGGAUGAAGGUAAGGUAAUACUUACUGGAGGUCCGAACCCACGCACGUUGAAAAGUGCGGGGAUGAGGUGUGGGUAGCGGAGAAAUUCCAAUCGAACUUGGAGAUAGCUGGUUCUCUCCGAAAUAGCUUUAGGGCUAGCCUCGAGGUAAAGAGUCAUGGAGGUAGAGCACUGUUUGGACUAGGGGCCCUUCUCGGGUUACCGAAUUCAGAUAAACUCCGAAUGCCAUGUACUUAUACUCGGGAGUCAGACUGCGAGUGAUAAGAUCCGUAGUCGAAAGGGAAACAGCCCAGACCACCAGUUAAGGUCCCCAAAUAUAUGUUAAGUGGAAAAGGAUGUGGGGUUGCUUAGACAACCAGGAUGUUGGCUUAGAAGCAGCCACCAUUGAAAGAGUGCGUAAUAGCUCACUGGUCGAGUGACCCCGCGCCGAAAAUGUACCGGGGCUAAACAUAUUACCGAAACUGUGGAUGAACCUCUUUAGAGGUUCGUGGUAGGAGAGCGUUCUAAGGGCGGUGAAGUCAGACCGGAAGGACUGGUGGAGCGCUUAGAAGUGAGAAUGCCGGUAUGAGUAGCGAAAGAAGGGUGAGAAUCCCUUCCACCGAAUAUCUAAGGUUUCCUGAGGAAGGCUCGUCCGCUCAGGGUUAGUCGGGACCUAAGCCGAGGCCGAUAGGCGUAGGCGAUGGACAACAGGUAGAGAUUCCUGUACCAGUGCUAAUUGUUUAACCGAUGGGGUGACACAGAAGGAUAGGGAAUCGCACGAAUGGAAAUGUGCGUCCAAGCAGUGAGUGUGAGAAGUAGGCAAAUCCGCUUCUCGCGAAGCAUGAGCUGUGAUGGGGAAGGAAAUUAAGUACGGAAGUUCCUGAUUUCACGCUGUCAAGAAAAGCCUCUAGGAAGAGUAGUACUGCCCGUACCGCAAACCGACACAGGUAGAUGAGGAGAGAAUCCUAAGGUGAGCGAGAGAACUCUCGUUAAGGAACUCGGCAAAAUGACCCCGUAACUUCGGGAGAAGGGGUGCUCUAUUAGGGUGCAAGCCCGAGAGAGCCGCAGUGAAUAGGCCCAGGCGACUGUUUAGCAAAAACACAGGUCUCUGCAAAACCGUAAGGUGACGUAUAGGGGCUGACGCCUGCCCGGUGCUGGAAGGUUAAGAGGAGUGCUUAGCUUCGGCGAAGGUACGAAUUGAAGCCCCAGUAAACGGCGGCCGUAACUAUAACGGUCCUAAGGUAGCGAAAUUCCUUGUCGGGUAAGUUCCGACCCGCACGAAAGGCGCAACGAUCUGGGCACUGUCUCAACGAGAGACUCGGUGAAAUUAUAGUACCUGUGAAGAUGCAGGUUACCCGCGACAGGACGGAAAGACCCCGUGGAGCUUUACUGCAACCUGAUAUGGAAUGUUUGUACCGCUUGUACAGGAUAGGUAGGAGCCGAAGAGACGUGUGCGCUAGCAUACGAGGAGGCAAUGGUGGGAUACUACCCUGGCUGUAUGACCAUUCUAACCCGCCACGCUUAGCGCGUGGGGAGACAGUGUCAGGUGGGCAGUUUGACUGGGGCGGUCGCCUCCUAAAGAGUAACGGAGGCGCCCAAAGGUUCCCUCAGAAUGGAUGGAAAUCAUUCGCAGAGUGUAAAGGCACAAGGGAGCUUGACUGCGAGACUGACAAGUCGAGCAGGGACGAAAGUCGGGCUUAGUGAUCCGGUGGUUCCGCAUGGAAGGGCCAUCGCUCAACGGAUAAAAGCUACCCCGGGGAUAACAGGCUUAUCUCCCCCAAGAGUCCACAUCGACGGGGAGGUUUGGCACCUCGAUGUCGGCUCGUCGCAUCCUGGGGCUGUAGUCGGUCCCAAGGGUUGGGCUGUUCGCCCAUUAAAGCGGCACGCGAGCUGGGUUCAGAACGUCGUGAGACAGUUCGGUCCCUAUCCGUCGCGGGCGCAGGAAAUUUGAGAGGAGCUGUCCUUAGUACGAGAGGACCGGGAUGGACACACCGCUGGUGUACCAGUUGUUCCGCCAGGAGCAUCGCUGGGUAGCUAUGUGUGGCAGGGAUAAACGCUGAAAGCAUCUAAGCGUGAAGCCCCCCUCAAGAUGAGAUUUCCCAUUUCUUCGGAAAGUAAGAUCCCUGAAAGAUGAUCAGGUAGAUAGGUUUGGAGUGGAAGUGUAGCGAUACAUGGAGCGGACAAAUACUAAUCGAUCGAGGACUUAACCAAAA